rnacentral:misc_RNA from 1 species
CGUGAGAGGAAAGAUGGAUAUGACAUCGUGAUCAGUGAUGUCAACAUGCCUGACAUGGAUGGUUUUAAAUUUCUAGAACAUGUUGGACUGGAGAUGGAUCUUCCUGUAAUCAUGAUGUCUGUUGAUGCCGGAAGCAGCCGGGUUAUGAAAUGCCUUCAGCAUGGAGCCUGUGAUUAUCUUCUUAAGCCAAUACGAAUCAUAGAACUUCGGAAUAUAUGGAAGCA